rnacentral:rRNA from 1 species
UCUGGCCUACGGGAGGCAGCAGUGAGGAAUAUUGGUCAAUGGGCGGGAGCCUGAACCAGCCAAGUCGCGUGAGGGAAGACGGUCCUAUGGAUUGUAAACCUCUUUAGGCGGGGAGCAAUGCCGGGCACGCGUGCCCGGAGGGAGAGUACCCGCAGAAUAAGCAUCGGCUAACUCCGUGCCAGCAGCCGCGGUAAUACGGAGGAUGCGAGCGUUAUCCGGAUUUAUUGGGUUUAAAGGGUGCGUAGGCGGGUUUUUAAGUCAGCGGUAAAAUGUCCGGGCUCAACCCGGGCAGGCCGGUGAAACGG